rnacentral:rRNA from 1 species
AAUAGAUACCCAGGUAGUCCACGCCGUAAACGAUGAGUGCUAAGUGUUAGAGGGUUUCCGCCCUUUAGUGCUGCAGCUAACGCAUUAAGCACUCCGCCUGGGGAGUACGGCCGCAAGGCUGAAACUCAAAGGAAUUGACGGGGGCCCGCACAAGCGGUGGAGCAUGUGGUUUAAUUCGAAGCAACGCGAAGAACCUUACCAGGUCUUGACAUCCUCUGCCAACCCUAGAGAUAGGGCGUUCCCCUUCGGGGGACAGAGUGACAGGUGGUGCAUGGUUGUCGUCAGCCCGUGUCGUGAGAUGUUGGGUUAAGUCCCGCAACGAGCGCAACCCUUGAUCUUAGUUGCCAGCAUUCAGUUGGGCACUCUAAGGUGACUGCCGGUGACAAACCGGAGGAAGGUGGGGAUGACGUCAAAUCAUCAUGCCCCUUAUGACCUGGGCUACACACGUGCUACAAUGGAUGGUACAAAGAGCUGCGAACCCGCGAGGGUAAGCGAAUCUCAUAAAGCCAUUCUCAGUUCGGAUUGUAGG